CCUGGGGGUUAGAGACUGGGACCCCCCGCGCCCCCUCGCCGCCCAGGCUCCGGAUGCGGAUCUGGGCGGUGCUCAGAGUCCCGCGAUGCUCCAGGGGGCACCGUGAGCCUGUGGGGAUGAUCACUUCUGGACUUUUCCUGCUGGGCUGUGUCCCGGUGUGUGGUCUGAGCCAGCGGCUGAGGUGACAGGUCAUAUUUCCAUGGGAGGGGACUGGGAGCCUGGCCUGAAAGAAACCCCCUAACCUAUCUGCUUACAGAGGGAGAAAGAAAAGAAACAGAGAAAGGAAGAAGAAAAGAGACAGAAGAAGGAAGGAUGGAAGGAAGGAAGACAGGUGAUUGUGGAUAUAGACAAUCUUCCCCUCA